UGGCUGGAUCCAGAGAAAGCAGAUUGGGGCUGAUGAAGGAGUGUCUGCCUCUAACCUCAUUGUGAUGCGUUACUGGUGCAUGUGUGGCUAGGAACCCUGGGAAUGAAUGAGUUGUGUGAGCAAGCUCGUCUCACCUGCUCCCAAAGGUGUGAGAAAAAUCAGACGCUGCAUCAACCCGGAGACCACAAGUUACUGUUUAUUCCCUGAAGCUUGCUGGACUGCAUACGUGUGAUACUGUGUCCAACUUUGUGUGGGUUCUGGGGAUCUGAACUCAAGUCCUCGGGCUUAUGAGGCAACGGGCAUGAAAGAGUCAUCUGACCCCUGGUUGAGAACCUCUGCUUUAGUGGCUACAGGGUGCUAUUCGGACAGAAGGCGUGUUUCAUCUCUGGCCUCGCGCUCCCAAGGAAGGAGAGACUCAACACGCUGUGCAGCCCAACAUCCCACAACUUGGUGGACAUUCUGGACUGUCAUCUGAAAAUAGGGACCCUGGAUCCAGGGGUCUGUGAAGGCAGUGGGAUCUCUCCACGUCCUUUGAACUGCUGACAACAUCUCUUGGAACAUAACACAAGCGUUUUACCUGUGAUGAGGCGGCGUGAGGCUGAUGACCCUGUGACAGAUUCCUUUGCGCUGGGCUGGCACCGCUGCAACUCGGUGUGACAAAGCGCCCGCUCUCAUGCUGAUCGGGAGCACUGAUUGCCAGCUAUUGACGUCUUUGAUGAAUAAAAAAUGGGAAGCGAAA